rnacentral:snRNA from 1 species
AUUGCUUCUCGGCCUUUUGGCUAAGAUCAAGAGUAGUAUCUGUUCUUAUCAGUUUAAAAUCAACAUGUGUCAAAGAUUUUAUGUAACUCAAUCAUU